GCACAUAUGAUUUUUAAAAUGUGAUAUAUUUGGAAAGCAGUACAUGGGCCGAACCUGUAGAAAAUUGAACGAAUUUUAGAACAUUAAAAUAGUAUUAGAUUUUUUUUUUUUAACAAACAUAGUCCCCAUCCACUGCAAUGCAUGUGCUAAAUUUAGUUGGAAAGAUUAAUACGUGGGUUUGGAAAAAAUAGAGAAUUAUUGGAGAGGUGGAAACAUAAUAAAA